rnacentral:lncRNA from 1 species
UUUUAAUGGAUCUUUUAUUUAUUUAAAUAUUUCAAUAAUUGAAAUUAUUUUUUUAAAAAUUGAUUAAAUGAUAUUUAAAAACAUAAUUCUAAAAAAAUUCUUUCAUUCUUUCGUUUUCUUUUUUGUUUAUAUAAUUGAUUUUUAGAUAUUUAUUUAUUUGGUUAUUCCUAAUAAAUUAAGUAAAUACUUAUUAUUAUUAAAUGAAUAAGUGCAUAAUUAACCCUAAAUCUACAACUUUUUU